CAUGACCCGGUUCCUUUCUCACCCAACCCAGCGGCAGCCCACACGGUUUCCUUCCUUCCCCUUUCCAUGAGAGUAAGGAAACAGAAGCAGAAAACAGAUCAAAGAGGGAGGGAGAGGAGCUGCGAUCGAAAGGGGAGAUGGGUCACGCUGCUGCCGCCGUUCAGUUCACCACCAUGACGCGCCGUCACGCCUUGCUUGCCCUGCCGCUGUGAAGCUCGUCCCUGCUGAGUCGCCGCCGCUAGUGCUAGGGUAUAACGCCGCCUGUCACCGUUGCGAGCUUCCUCGCCGUGGCCACCGAAGUCGCCAUUGCCGCCGCGGAUGAGAGAAAGCAAGGGAAGAGAGAUCGAGAGGGAGAAGGAUGGUGCGUCGUUGGAGCCAGCCUCAUCGCGCCGCCUCCGCUGUCCGUGUCACCGCCGUUGUCCGAGCUCGUCACCACCAGUUGCCGUCUCUGCCCAGUGUCGCCGCAGAUGGUGGGUCGCUGAGAGAGGCCACCGCUGCUGCCGCCGGGAACUGCCAUAGAAGCUGUAUUCGCUGGUGUCGAUGAAGGCGCGAACAGAGGAAGAACGCGCUUGUGGGGGGGCUUGCGGAGAGAGUGAGGCGUGUGGUGGUGGGUGGUUCCACCGCCCUUGCUGCUGUGCCGUCAGAAUCUGCCGCUAUGGUCGCCGGAAAACCUCUCUGCCGUCGCCAGAAAACCACUGUCGGUAAGGGUUUCGAAUUUGGUUUUCGUUUCUUGUGAGAUUCUGGAGCUUUAUUGUUGCGGCAUGUUGGUUUCAGUCACCGUUGCCAGAGUCGGGUCGCCGCAGCCGCUGAAGGUAGCUGCCGGGGCCACCGCCCAACCGGUUCAGAGGGCGGCGCUGUGGUUCGGUGCAGUCAUUCUCUUUUAGUUUCAGAGUUAGAAUCUGAGUUUACUUGUGGCGUUGAGGUUGUUUCUACUAUUGAGAAAGACACGCGGAGCCAGGACCUUGACCGUUGAUCUCGGGUCGAGGCAGAAAGGAUUCUGUGACGCGUUUGGCCUAUGGUUUUGCGUUUUGAGGAUAUGAGCGCUGAAGUCACGAAGAGCUUAUUUAGUUGUCGUUGAAAUGCUAUGUAUUGCUGUAGCUUAUUAUUUAUUGUACCCUCGCCUUUAUCUUGAUAUAUUUUGUAAGAGGGAUAGGGAUUGUAUUGGUUAAUGUUUGUAAUAUUAUUCAUAUAUAUGUAUGUAUAUAUAUGGAUGUACUCUUUAUGAGUUUUGUAAGUUGUAUGAUAUCUAUAGAUGUACGUUAUCGAACGAAAGUAUCUUGGGAAUGAUAUUGUACUAGAAAGUUUUAAACAGGCUCAUAUUUUAGUAUUAAAUAGUAUAAGUGUUGUCGUAAUGUCCGAGCUAUCAGAGUCGCUCAGCCGAAAGCGUGAGCUUUGGUAGUUAGGGUGUUACAAUUAAAUUAAAAAUAUAUGGUUUUUCUAGCUAGAAGUAAGGGAAUACAAUUUCAAGUUUCUAGCACAAAAUAAAAAAGAGACAAAAAAACAAAAUUAAAGCCUUUCUCUUAAUUGCUGUGUUUUUAUUUCUUCUUGUUUGUUCUGAAUUUUUGUUACAACUUGAUUUAGUUGGAGGCAGGGAAGCAACUUUCAACUCAACGAGGCUAUCAUUGCUUUUGACGGUAAAUGAAGAAAGAGAAGUAUCCCAGAGAAGCUUUCUAACAACAUUCAGUUAUUUGUCAUUAAAAUUGGAAACCUUGGACAAUAAUUCUUUAGAGUGUUUUAUUUAUAAUGAUGUUUUAGAGUGUUUAUUUAUAAUUUAUUAUUUUUAUUAUAAAAU